AUUCGUACCCAUUUACAAAAUAUCUUCCUAAAAUAUCUAUUUCACCAUCCAUAUCCUCACACUCGACCUUAUCUCUCCCUCUGUCAUGUUCACACUUUCCUUCUCAUCCAUUUACGUCCCUUUCUUCCAAUCUUUCCCACAACUAGCUACAUAUUUUUCCUUUCCCCUACACACUUAUAGCACCAUCAGACAAGGCACAAAACAAAAACACUCUCCUUUCCUACUUUACGUAGCCUUCAUUCUCUUCAUCACCCUGAGCAGCACAAAAUCUCAUCAUCAUUUUAUUUCCUCAUGACCAACUAGCGAGCACCUUGUGCCUCCUUCCUCACCACCAUGAAACCACUGUGGUUUCACCUUCUUCAUUUUCGCUGGUCACCAACGACAUCCACCAUCUCCUUCCUUUCUCAUGGCUGAACACACCACCAUGUUCUCCUUUUCUUCUUGCCAUGAGACAGCUACCACCGCCCCUGUUUCUCUCCAUGGAAGCACCACUUCACCAUCCACCAUGAACACAACACGCGCGCACCACCAUGGCCAGCCACCACCUUGGUUCUCUCUUCACCCACGCGAGGCACAAGCCACCACCAUCCCUCCUUCGCCAUGGCUGCAAUGUCACGAGUCCCUCGGUUCAGCAAGCACCACGACGCGUGCUUCUUUCUCUGUUUCUGCACCCACGGACUCCACCUCUGUUUCCGGCGAGAAAAGCCACCAAUCAAUGAGCCCAACGACGCCACAACACCACCGCAUCACCGUUGGAAGCCACCACGGCCAACAUGAACAAAAACAUUGGAGAAAGCAACGUAAAACAGAGGAGAACGACGUCGCUGCCGUCGCCGACGUCGCCAACUUCGGCCUUCAUUUUCGGUGUCCUCGGGCCUCCGUUCACAGCGAGGUUAGUACCGUUGGAACCCUUGUGACGUCCACAAUAAAACCCAUGUUCCGAAUCGUCGACCGCCGCCACUGCCGCCUUUGAAGCCGAUUUCCAGUCAACUCCGGCGACCGAUGGAGAAACGGAGUGCACCACGACGAUCCUUACCGCGAGGAGAGCAAUAGCCCUCAAUCAAUGUCAGUUUUGGACAAGUUUUGUCGGUGAGUUCCGCCGACCUACAAUUUGACUGUCUGAGUAAACUGUCGACUUUUUCGGGAAACGGACAGCGCCAAUGAGUUUCUGGCCGCGAAAGAAUAAAGAACUACUAUCUCUUUUGUGUCUCCGGCGACAAUUCCUUUGUCAACCACCGCGAACCACAACUUUCUCCGGCGACUCUUCGCCGACAAGCUUUCAGAACUUGGAUUUCGGUACGAAUAAUGGGAGCGCUUGGCGACGAAGCCAAAUAAUAAAAGGAAGCAAGACGACACGGGAAAGCAAAGAUGUGAUCGAAAUGAAGUCACCGUUUAGGAAGAAAAUUGGCUAAGGGCGUUAUCAAGUGGUAGUGGAGUGGAUAUUUUCACAUGACUAUCCCGUCUUGCGAGAUGUUAUCAAGUGACAGUGGAGUGGAUAUUUUCACAUGACUAUCCCGUCCUUCGAGGCGUUACUUAGUGACAGUGGACUGAAUAUUUUCACAGGACUGUCCCGUCUUGCGAGACGUUAUCAAGUGGCAGUGGAGUGGAUGUUUUCACAUGACUGUCCCGUCCUUUGAGGCGUUAUCAAGUGGUAGUGGAGUGGAUAUUUUCACAGGACUGUCCCGUCUUGCGAGACGUUAUUGUUUGAUUGAUGUUGUUGAGGAUUGUCGAUAUCUGAUUUGAUGUUAUAUUGUUGAGGAUCAUUGAUAUCUGAUUUGUUGUUAUAUUGUUGAGGAUUGAUGAUAUCUGAUUUGAUGUUAUAUUGUUGAGGAUUAUUGAUAUCAGCUGAUUUGUCGUUAUAUUGUUGAGGAUUGUUGAUAUCUGAUUUGAUGUUAUGUUGUUGACGUUAUUGUUAUCUGAAUUAACCUAUGUUGUUAAGUUAUUGAUUCCUGAGUUAGUUUAUGUUGUUAAGUUUUGUUGGUAUCUGUUUUAAAACCAUAUCGUUGAUUUUGCUGAUAUACUGAUAUGUUUAAUUCUGUUAAAUAUAUGAUUCGAUUUCAUGAUUUAUAGGGUGAGUUGUCAUCUAUCCUGAAUUAAAUUGGUAGCUUACUUACCAUGGCAUGUAUUAGAUUUGAAUAACAUGCUUUUCUCUUUUAUACGUGGUAAUUGCAUGGAGUUAACCCUUUCUGUUUGCUACUUGUUGUUUGGGCGCUUAACGC